rnacentral:rRNA from 1 species
GUACUCUGNAACCCGAGUACAUGAAGCUGGAAUCGCUAGUAAUCGCGAAUCAGAAUGUCGCGGUGAAUACGUUCCCGGGUCUUGUACACACCGCCCGUCACACCAUGGGAGAUGGAUAUGCCCAAAGUCAGUGACCUAACCGCAAGGGAGGAGCUGCCUAAGGUGGAGCCAUUAACUGGGGUGAAGUCGUAACAAGGUAGC